rnacentral:rRNA from 1 species
GACGAACGCUGGCGGCGUGCUUAACACAUGCAAGUCGAACGGAAAGGCCCUGCUUUUGUGGGGUGCUCGAGUGGCGAACGGGUGAGUAACACGUGAGUAACCUGCUCUUGACUUUGGGAUAACUUCAGGAAACUGGGGCUAAUACCGGAUAGGAGCUCCUGUUGCAUGGUGGGGGUUGGAACGUUUCGGCGGUUGGGGAUGGACUCGCGGCUUAUCAGCUUGUUGGUGGGGUAGUGGCUUACCAAGGCUUUGACGGGUAGCCGGCCUGAGAGGGUGACCGGCCACAUUGGGACUGAGAUACGGCCCAGACUCCUACGGGAGGCAGCAGUGGGGAGUAUUGCACAAUGGGCGGAAGCCGGAUGCAGCAACGCCGCGGGCGGGAUGACGGCCUGCGGGUUGUAAACCGCUUUCGCCUGUGACGAAGCGUGAGUGACGGUAAUGGGUAAAGAAGCACCGGCUAACUACGUG